rnacentral:piRNA from 1 species
CUUUUACGUAUCUACCUCCAAACGAACUCCAACUAGAGAAUAUAUAUAUUACGAUCAAGAUACACAAUGGGCUGGAGAUAAUUUUAUACGGUGAACUAAACAUUCGCACCAACCACCUUGGAGACUUUCUUGUUCCUGUAUAUACCCUCUUCUACGUGGAGAAGUUAUGUAAGACCAAAAGGUCAUAACAGAUACUUUUGUUGUUGUUACUACUGUUAUUCUUGUGUGUACCCUACAUUUCUGUGCUUGGAGAAUCCGUAUAAGACUAAAUUGUCUUAAUAAAGCUUUUUGUUGUUGUUGAUUUCUGUUCUACCAGAUGGCGCUCUGCCUUCUGUAAAGCACAUGUGCUCCUGGUCAGGUAUGCCAUUUUUAUUUUUGAUCUAUUUAGUCUGUAUUUAUUAAGGAAUACGAGUAAGUACCUAGUAAGGGUGUUUAAGGAAGCUAUGGAUAUAAGGUUAUAGGAUUGUAGAACUCAGCGUUUACAUACAUAGAAGAAUGCUUUUCCGAAAGUCCAAAACAAAGCCUGGAAUAUAUCUAAAAAUGUUCGUAUCAUUGAUACUCAAUAAGAUCCAAUCAGGGUACAAUAAUGAUAGUGAGAAUUCAAAAUUCAAAGAUAAAAGUAAAGUUUUGACAGAAAUACACUUUUAUAUCUCUUCCAAAAAGAAGAGAAAGAGAGAAUUGUGGAGUUGCAGCUCUAACAAGUAUAGAAACACACAGACUUACCCGUUGAAUCCCAUGUGUUUGACAAUGGUACCGCUGAGAGCAGGUCCUGCAAACACCGUGAAGACAUCUCAAGAUGUUUGACUCGAUGUAGACAUAGGACAAACUGACCUACGGCGUAUCCCAGGCAGAAGGAGACGUCUCCAAUGGCGUAGACACUGCCGUAGAUGGAUGUAUGGCGUAUAUCAACCAGGUAGCCCAACAUAGGCAUCAUGGAAGAAUCAACCAUUCCUGCAUCAUUCCAGUAGAUGGCAUCAUCAAAGUCAGAUAUGUAGAUACAAACGUUCAGCUAACUUGCUGAGUAGAAUUUAAGUAGAGAAUCGUAAAGAUAGAAGCUGCCUGGCCAGCAUUCAUAUUUCUUUAGAUUAAUCAAAUAUAAAUCUCCGAGGAUAAGUUUCUUUGUUAUCCUCGGGGAGAGGGAGUCUCGCGGCGGGGACCGGCGAAGGAUACCUGGUUGAUCCUGCCAAUAGUCAUAUGCUUGUCUCAAAGAUUGAACCAUUCAUGUCUAAGUACACGCCCUUGCAAGUUGAAGCUACGAAAGGCUCAUUAAAUAUGUUAUGGUCCCUUAGAUUGUACAUGUUUACUUGGUUUAUGUCCCUCUCUGGUUGAUCCUGCCAGUAGUCAUAUGCUUGUCUCAAAGAUUGAGCCAUGCAUGUCUAAGUACACGCCCUUGCAAGUUGAAACUACGAAUGGCUCAUUAAAUCUGUUAUGGUUCCUUAGAUUGUACAUGUUUACUUGGAAAUUUGUCUUUCUUUCUCUGGUUGAUCCUGCCAAUAGUCAUACGCUUGUCUCAAAGAUUGAGCCAUGCAUGUCUAAGUACACGCCCUAGCAAGUUGAAACUACGAAUGGCUCAUUAAAUCUGUUAUGGUUCCUUAGAUUGUACAUGUUUAUUUGGAUAACUGGGGUAAUUCUAGAGCUAAUACAUGCAAUAUUAUCCUCGGGGAUUUAUAUUUGGUUAAUAUAAUCAACACAGAGGAUUAUAAUUCUAAUAAUUCAUAUUUAUAUUUUAAAAAAAAUAGACAUUUCGGCUAGUUUUAUUUUCUCAUAAAACUUUAUCUGGCCAAAGUGUCUAUUUUUUAAAAGAAAUAAGUAGAGAAAAUAUUUUUUCAAAAAUAUCAAUACUCUAUAAAAUUGGGGUAAAAACAUCAGGAUUCUCUCUCCGAGAUACGUUUCUUUUACAAAUAUUUAAUACGAAUUUAGAGCUUUUGCAAAUGCAAGCCCCUCUGCAGGAGAACACAAUAUACUUUGAAACUAUUUUGUAUAACCUCAUAUAAUGUGGUACAAAAUAUUUUUUAAGCUAAAUAUUAGUAUAUAUUAAAAAAACUUUCUUUUCUUGAGG